UUUGCCAGAUAGGGUUUAGCCCAUUCCACUAGAUUGUGUUCUCCGGACGGCCGAUUUUUAUCAAUUGCUCUCCUUCCAGAUAACAUCUCUAACAAAACAACUCCAAAGCUAUAGACAUCACUCUUGGCAGACAAAUGACCCGUGGCUAGAUAUUCUGGAGCUGCAUAUCCAUAUGUACCCAUAACCCUGGUCGAGACAUGACUCUUAUCCCCUGUUGGCCCAUCCUUGGCCAACCCAA
rnacentral:misc_RNA from 1 species